GUCGAACGCUGGCGGCGUGCCUAAUACAUGCAAGUCGAACGCAGUGGGGACGGGUGAGUAACACGUGGGUAACCUCCCAUCAGAGGGGAUAACACUUGGCAACCGGUGCUAAACCGAUCCUGAUGGAUGGAGCCGCGGGGCAUGAGCUAGUUGGUGAGGUAACGGCUCACCUAGGCCACGAUGCAUAGGCGACCUGAAAGGUGGAUGGGCCACACUGGGACUGAGACACGGCCCAGACUCCUACGGGAGGCAGCAGUAGGGAAUCUUCGGCAAUGGACGAAAGUCUGACCGAGCGACGCCGCGGGUGUGAAGAAGGUUUUCGGAUCGGAAAACUCUGUUGUUAGAGAAGCGGUAUCUAACCAGAAAGCCACGGCUAACUACGUGCCAGCAGCCGCGGUAAUUC
rnacentral:rRNA from 1 species